AGAUAAAAAAAGACCGAAUACGAUUCCUAUAUUCGGUCCAGGGAAAUGGCUCUUGGGAGAGAGCCGUGCGCUAAAAGUUGGCAUUAAUGCAGGCAGACUUCGCCUUGCCUUCUAAGAAUAGAUUACCGGCGCAGCUUUUCCAGUCC
rfam:Buttiauxella agrestis ATCC 33320 GBAG.assembly.030, whole genome shotgun sequence.